AAGACUAUACUUUCAGGUAUCAUUUCUACAUUUUGCUACUAGGGAAAUUUCUCUGAACAUGUAGAGCACUAGAAACUAUGAGGAGGCAGCACAGCAUUCUCUUCUGAGCAUGGAACCGGCUCUUGAUAUUGCUUCUCUGCUACUGCCAUUUGUCACUGAUGAUGGUUCUUCUCUUCCUCCAGAAGAGUAAGAGGGAGAGGAAACAGUCUGAGUGAU
ensembl:snoRNA U3 Small nucleolar RNA U3